rnacentral:rRNA from 1 species
UGAGGAAUCUUGCGCAAUGGAGGAAACUCUGACGCAGCCACGCCGCGUGCCGGAAGACGGCCCUAUGGGUUGUAAACGGCUUUUGUUCGGGAAGAAAGUACGGGUUUUGAUCUGUAUUGACGGUACCGAUUGAAUAAGCACCGGCUAACUCCGUGCCAGCAGCCGCGGUAAUACGGAGGGUGCAAGCGUUGUCCGGAAUCAUUGGGUGUAAAGGGUGCGUAGGCUGGUGUCUAAGUCUGGGGUGAAAUUUUGCCGCUUAACGGUAACAUGGCCUUGGAUACUGGAUGCCUUGAAUCUGACAGAGGUCGGUGGAAUUCGUAGUGUAGCGGUGAAAUGCAUAGAUAUUACGAAGAACACCAGUGGCGAAGGCGGCCGGCUGGGUCAGUAUUGACGCUGAGGCACGAGAGCGUGGGGAGCGAACAGGAUUAGAUACCCUGGUAGUCCACGCUGUAAACGAUGUAUGCUAGUUGUUGGGCCUUUGGGUUCAGUGACGCAGUUAACGCAGUAAGCAUACCACCUGGGGAGUACGUUCGCAAGAAUG